rnacentral:rRNA from 1 species
GUGAGGAAUAUUGGUCAAUGGGCGGGAGCCUGAACCAGCCAAGUCGCGUGAAGGAAGAAGGAUCUAUGGUUCGUAAACUUCUUUUGCAGGGGAAUAAAGUGCAGGACGUGUCCUGUUUUGUAUGUACCCUGAGAAUAAGGAUCGGCUAACUCCGUGCCCGCAGCCGCGGUAAUACGGAGGAUCCGAGCGUUAUCCGGCUUUAUUGGUUUUAAAGGGUGCGUAGGUGGUUUGAUAAGUCAGCGGUGAAAGUUUGCAGCUUAACUGUAAAAAUGCCGUUGAAACUGUCGGACUUGAGUGUAAAUGAGGUAGGCGGAAUGCGUGGUGUAGCGGUGAAAUGCAUAGAUAUCACGCAGAACUCCGAUUGCGAAGGCAGCUUACUAAGCUACAACUGACACUGAAGCACGAAAGCGUGGGGAUCAAACAGGAUUAGAUACCCGUGUAGUCC